rnacentral:rRNA from 1 species
CAGAGGGGCAAGCGUUGUUCGGAAUUACUGGGCGUAAAGGGCGCGUAGGCGGCCCGCUAAGUCGAACGUGAAAUCCCCGAGCUCAACUCGGGAACUGCGUCCGAUACUGGCGGGCUUGAAUCCGGGAGAGGGAUGCGGAAUUCCAGGUGUAGCGGUGAAAUGCGUAGAUAUCUGGAGGAACACCGGUGGCGAAGGCGGCAUCCUGGACCGGCAUUGACGCUGAGGCGCGAAAGCUAGGGGAGCAAACGGGAUUAGAUACCCCGGUAGUCCUAGCCCUAAACGAUGAAUGCUUGGUGUGGCGGGUAUCGAUCCCUGCCGUGCCGAAGCUAACGCAUUAAGCAUUCCGCCUGGGGAGUACGGUCGCAAGGCUG